CAAAGUGGCGUGGAAGCCACUGCCAGGAAGCGUGAGCAAGAGAAAUGGAGAGGCGGUGGUGGGUCGUGGGUUCCCGUUCUCCAUGACGGAAAGCCCGCAUUUUGAGCCUCCAAACCCGCUCCGAUCUGUAUCAAAUUUUGAGAGGGAGUUCAAUUCGUGGAGAUGAGCAUCACUACGGAGUCGGAUUCCGAAUCCAAUGGUUGGAUUUUCGGAUUUUGGUGAGCAUGUAUAGCAGAAAAUCAUCUUCCUGGGCUAAACACUAAUGCUAUCAAGAACCAUUGGAACAACCAUUUGAAGAAGAGGCUUGCGAUUACAAGUUACCUUGAGCAACAAUUCUCUACCAUGAGCGGGACCUUCCCACAGAUGAUGAGACCAGUGAUCACUCUCAUUAUCCCUAAUUUCAAAGAUAUGAUAUGAUAGUGUGGUGAUCAAUUUGACUUUUGAGGUAGGAAUUGUUGUGUUGUGUUGCAGGUGAGCAUUUAUUGCAAAAAAUCAUCUUCCAAGGCUAAACACUAAUGCUAUCAAGAACCGCUGGAACGACCAUUUGAAGAAUAGGCUUGCAAUUACAAGGUACCUUGAGCAACACCUUCUCUACCAUAAGCGGGACCUUCCCACAGAUGAUGAGACUAGUGAUCACUCUCAUUAUCCCUAAUUUCAAAGACAUGUACUUGGGACUUCGUAAGGCAUGUACUUAGGAUUCUCAUUAUCCCUAAUUUGGAAGAUAUAUGUACUUAGUACUGUCAUUUAUCCUUAAUUUGGCGAUUUCUUUAGCUGGUCAUGUGUUAAGGAAUUGAACUAAUUGCAUUUGGAUCAACAUAGGGAAUCAAAAAAGCUAGCUCGGUCAUCAAUGCCUCAAGGUCAUCUCCUUGGACAGAGUGAUCGCUAGUCUCAUCAUCCAGGAGAAGAUGUGCUCAAAGUAGAGAAGGUAUCACUUAAGGUCACUUGUAGUCGCAGGCCUCUUCUUCAAGUGGUUGUUCCAGCGGUUCUUGAUAGCAUUAGCAAAUCGGCAAGGAAGAUGAUAUUUUGCCAUAGAUGCCCAGUUGCAACACAACAUAGGAAGUCCUACCAUAGACUCAAGGUGUGUUUUGUAUUAUGCUGAUCAGGGUUUGUAGGUUGAUUUAUGAGUAUUGAGCAGUAUUCUCAUAUGAUGAUAGUGCUAAUUCCUCUCAUCAUCUACUGCAUCAACUCCAUUCUCCAAUUUUCUUACUUCAACUCUUUUGAAAUGACCUUUAAUCACAUAAUUCAACCUUGGAGUAUACAUGUUCUAAA